GGGCGUGUGUGCUGGUAUGAGUCUUCCAUCCUUCUAGAGAGCCACGCCUGCUGUUCACUCAGCUGGGCGUGUGCGAUCUAGAUCAUUUACUUUGAAAAAAUUAGAGUGUUUAAAGCAGGCUUAUGCCCGAAUACAUUAGCAUGGAAUAAUAAAAUAGGACUUCGGUUCUAUUUUGUUGGUUUCUAGAACUGAAGUAAUGAUUGAUAGGGAUAGUUGGGGGUGCUAGUAUUCAGUGGCCAGAGGUGAAAUUCUUGGAUUCACUGAAGACUAACUACUGCGAAAGCAUUCACCAAGGAUGUCUUCUUUAAUCAAGAACGAAAGUUGGGGGAUCGAAGACGAUCAGAUACCGUCGUAGUCUCAACCAUAAACUAUACCGACUAAGGAUCGGCAGAAGUCGUUAGCGACUCUGUCGGCACUUUGUGAGAAAUCAAAGUUUUUGGGUUCUGGGGGGAGUAUGGUCGCAAGGCUGAAACUUAAAGGAAUUGACGGAAGGGCACCACCAGGAGUGGAGCCUGCGGCUUAAUUUGACUCAACACGGGAAAACUCACCAGGUCCGGACAUAGUAAGGAUUGACAGAUUGAGAGCUCUUUCUUGAUUCUGUGGGUGGUGGUGCAUGGCCGUUCUUAGUUGGUGGAGCGAUUUGUCUGGUUAAUUCCGAUAACGAACGAGACCUUAACCUGCUAACUAGUUGCAGGUACUUUUGUAUCUGACACUUCUUAGAGGGACUGACUA
rnacentral:rRNA from 1 species